UCUGCGGGGCGGGACGGACACGGUCACGGCACGGCACGGCCCGGCGGGGCGCAGACCUACCCGGUGCGGUACAGCCCGGCCCGGCUCUGCCCUCUGGGGCGCAGUCCGCAGCCCCUCCGCCACCCCGCCCGGCACAGCCCGCCGCCGCCCGCCUCGCCUUUCAUUCUUUUAACGACUUUUAGCGAUUAGCCCCGUGAUUUCUGUUCCCCGCGGGACUCCGCACCCGGAGCGUUCCCCCUGAAGGGGCUCCGCAGCCGUUCGCCGUUCCCGUCCCGGCCGUGCCCCGGGGCUGCCGCUGUCACUCACCGCGCGGCCAUCCCCGCCUCCCUCAUUAGGAAGGUCCCCUCUGCGAGCUGCCCUUCCCGUUUUCUCCGUGGGCUCAGCGACACCGCGUCAACGGAACGCAACGAUUUGUCCCGUGCUCUCUGCGUCCGCCCAUCCCCGGCGGAUCAGACGCGCCGUGCGCUGCUUUUACUUCGUUUCCCCACAAAAAGAGACCCGUUUGUCCCACUCUCGGGUAGCAGGUGGCAAGGAGCGGGGCCGGCGCGGAGCUGUAGGAUCACAUUCCCUGCUGGAGCUCCCCUCAAGCUGGCUUUAACCCAACAGCGUCCCGCCAGCAGCCCCUUGGGGUCCCUCCCUGCAAUGCCGGGGUGCCCGGCAGGCCGCCACCUGUUGUGCCCGGGGGCCCUCGGUGCCGUAAGGGCUGAGUCCCACGCAGCCAUGGGACGAAGCCCCAGGGCCAGAUCCACGCUCAGUGCCGAGAGCUGUGGGCACCGCGCGGGCUGAAAUGACGGAGUUUGUGAAACUCUCGUUGGAAGAGAAAUGCUUUCAGUUCUUCACUGACUUCGCGUUGUCUUUUCCCCCCCCUCCACUGCUCGCAGGGCAAUAAUUACUAGGGGCAAACAAGCUGCCAGUUCCCAUAGAAAUGCUUUAAUGCAAGUGGGCAAAAGUUCUUGAGGGAAAACCCGCAGCCCCGGCGCCGCAAUAACGAAGCUGGGCACUUUGAUGGAAAUUAACGGGAGUUUUGUAAGGAGCGCGUUGGGGGAUGGCAGGCAGCCCUUAUCUGCGGUUCCAGUCAACUAGCAAUCCUGAAAGAGUUUGCAUCAUCAUCAGAGCAGCCCGUUUGAUAGGAUUCUGUGCUGCGCCUAAUCAAUCUAUGGGAUACCGGGCUGUGCGGUGUAACAAAGCUAAAAUAGAUUUACAAAUGGGGUUUUAGAGGAUAAGCUCCUCCACAGGAUUACAUAUUGAUUUUAAAUAUAAAAAGCUUAUCAUAUAAACCAUAACUACAAAAAUAGUGAACCUAUGCAUAAAUCCUUUUAGAAGAGCACCCACUUCAAACUGGAAGCCAGAAAUAAAUCAAGAUGUACAAAACCCUAAAGAAGAUCCAUUUCUUGGGCAGAAAACGAACACCCCCCUCCCAAGAUGUGCAAAAACAAACUUAUCUCUCCCAAGGAGGCAUUAAAUCUUGAAUUAAGAAAGGAAAAGAAAGAAGGGAAAGGGGUGGAGGCGGCGCUGGGGCCGCGCGGUGCAGGAGGAUGGCCCCACGUCCCCAGCCCCGUGCGGGCAGCAGCGUGUUGCCGAGCUGCCGGACAGCAGCGAGCUGCUCUCUGCCUCCCUGCCCAUCUCUGCAGCUCAAGGAGGUGGAUAAAAAGUCCGGCUUUUGUUUGGCGCUCUCCUGUUUCAUAGCAGCGCUGCAGCCGCUCGCGCACCCCGCAGCCCCGUCCCGCAGCCGGCUCUGCCUGCAGCCUUCCCCGCCAUAAGCAGCGGGGUGAACUGCCUGGGGGACACAUCACCAGCACAGCCACCCGUGGAAGUUACAGCGAUUCGUCCCGGCAGCGUAUUGCCAUCUCUCAAGAAGUUCUUUUAUCUUUUACGUUCCAACCCGGGUUGGUGUUCUGCCUCACAAUCCCCUCUUUGAGCCGCGCGGUUCGGUUGGCCGCAGGCUGCGUUUUGUUUUCUCUCUGGCAUUUUGCUGUGGUUUUGUUAGGAGCGCUUUUCCUCCUGUAGGCUUGGAGCAGAGCGCUGCCGAAACUUCUGAUGGGAUAACCAUUUCUUUUAUGGUGCAAAAUGCACUGCACAGACUUCGUUGUAUGAAUAAAAAGAAUACCCAAA